GCGGCUGCUCCGUGAAACGGCCUGCGUCAUUCUCCCGUCUCCGGAACACGAUACCGAACACCGACCCGCGGGAUCCACACACAAGAGCGCCGUGCGGGAUUAUCUGCAUGAGUGGUGCCUGGUUCUCAUCACGUCCUCUUUCAUCUACAUCAACUCAUUCAUUCAAGCUGCUCAAUUUUCUGUUGUGCAUUAGUUGCUCCGGCUGUCGUCUCCAUUAAAACAACCAGUGGACGGAUUCAUUUGUUCUGACGCAGCACGAAGCCGGCAGGUCCCCGCGGGGGGGUUUCAUCAUGGGAUAAAACACAUAAAAGACAAACAAAGUCAUUUUCUUGUAAUGUAAUACAUGUUUG